AGGACGAACGCUGGCGGCGUGCCUAACACAUGCAAGUCGAGCGAGGAGAUCCUUCGGGAUGAUCCUAGCGGCGGACGGGUGAGUAACACGUGGGCAACCUGCCUCAUAGAGAGGAAUAGCCUUCCGAAAGGAGAUUAAUACCUCAUAACAUUGCAGUUUCGCAUGGAACAGCAAUUAAAGGAGUAAUCCGCUAUGAGAUGGGCCCGCGGCGCAUUAGCUAGUUGGUGAGGUAACGGCUCACCAAGGCGACGAUGCGUAGCCGACCUGAGAGGGUGAUCGGCCACAUUGGGACUGAGACACGGCCCAGACUCCUACGGGAGGCAGCAGUGGGGAAUAUUGCACAAUGGGGGAAACCCUGAUGCAAGCAACGCCGCGUGAGUGAUGACGGCCUUCGGGUUGUAAAGCUCUGUCUUCAGGGACGAUAAUGACGGUACCUGAGGAGGAAGCCACGGCUAACUACGUGCCAGCAGCCGC
rnacentral:rRNA from 1 species